GUAGAAUUAAAACACGAAAAAAAGGCUAUGAAUUUAUCUUCACGAAAAUUACAAUAAGCUAAAAAAAAAAAACACGUAUGAAAUUGAUUUCAUUAAACCGGUUAAACAACAUAGAUAUGUAAAUAAAUCUUCUGUAAAUAGUACACAAUUAGCGCUUUAAUGCUAUUCGAACACUUUCUUCAUUUCCAGAAUUAUUAGAUGUAGGUCUGUUCGUACAAAGUUCGCAGCAUAAGUAGGUGAUGUAAACAAAGCAGCAUAGAAGUUCACUCAUCUCUGCCUGUUUGUAUGCGUAAAUCAUCGACAUGCACCUUUCCUUCUCCGCACAGUAGCAUAAUGAAAGCGGUUGGAAUUGAUAACUUCCAAUCAUAUUUUUUUUCCUCUUCACUGAAAUAGAAAGUAAUUAGCUUAGUAAAUGAGAUAAACUUAAAUAGAAAGUAACUCCCCAGGUUUAAUCGAUGAGUUGAAGAUAGUUUUUCGAAGAAAUCCAAGGCUCUCAAAGCGGACACGUUCCUUUUUUAUGUUAUGCUUUUGAAUGACGUUUCGUUUCUUAACGUCACAGUCGGUGUUGGUUUUCAUCGCUCUGUCAGAUGUAAUGCAGGGGUGAACACAAUGCUGUCAGUUUGGACAUGCGAUGUUUUUUCGAGCUCUCAGUCUGUCAGAGACAGUUUAAGUAACAAUCUAUGUGGUGGUCAACAUAAAUUGAUGAAAUAGAAUGUUAUGGUUUCAGUUCGUUAGUUAAAAGGGCAGGACGUCAACAAACUAGUCAAUUUAGGGUUGAUACGGUUGAUAAAUCGCAAUUUUUUAUAGCAAGAGUAUGUGUGCCAUUACAUGGGUCGAUAAUAAUCGAUGAAUGGAAUAUACUCAGUGCUGAGUUUACGUUACGUUUUAUGUGUUUAUUGAAUUGUUUAUGAAUCUACAGGGGCAUUGGAAAAAUAAUCAAUGGAGUAGAUAAUAUAUAUAGUAUCUGAACAACGUCAGAUGAACAGCAUUGUUUGGCCCCGCGUUAAACUGAAAGAGAAAUGAUAAUAAUCUGGUGAAGCAAUUGGAAUCGUAUAAAAACAAACUAUAUUUUUUAUAGAUAUAAAUUGCGUUGAACAAAAUGUUUGGAGUUAUGAAAAUUUGAUCAAUCUCAAAUUGAUCAAAUUUUCAUAAAACUGGGUCGUGUGAUGUAACGUUAUCUGGAACGUUUGUUAGUUUAGGAAGACUUUCUCUGAGAAAUAAUUAGUUCAUUGAGUAAAAAUUAUUCUUGCCGCGGAUUUACAAUAAUUAUACAGCAAAUUUAGAAUUUUAAGAACCAUUUAUAUAUUAGCCUCAAAGUUUACCAUAAAAGCUUGCCUUGAGCUUUGUACUAAAAAUAGUUAAGAGAUUAAACGUAGAUGGCAUACGAAACAGGAAUAAAAUCAACUGUGGUAUUUGUCUAAACUUUUAAGUUGAAUAGUAUUAGUGAAGGUCAGAAUUAAUGAGACAUCACUUUUGGAGGGUCUUAAACUCAUCUGCUGGACUGAAUCCCCCAUUUUAGAAAGUCGUUGGCUAGAGUACAGAAGCUAGUCACUGUGUCUCUACCUUUUAAUUUCUGAGUUUAAGUUUUUUUGGAAGUAUACCACAAGUGGCGAAAGCUCUGCGCUCUUGUGUAAUUGAUCAAAAUCUACAAAGCGUCCAACCGACGUUUUUUUGUCCGGAUCAAAGGUCUUUGGACCUCUACACCCGCCAUUUUGUUGGCGCACUACACGUGGAACACUCCGUCGGUACCAACUCGUGAAGGCCCGCCAGUUUUGGCAGUCAAACGGGGCUGAGGAAAACCCAUCCGGCCUGCUUGCGCCUCGUAGUGAUCUGGCAGAGUACCGGAGCCGCCGACGCCCUCUCCCCGCAACUCUACAUCGGCCAAAAGUCCACUGAGCGUACCAGACAGCACCGGCCCUAUAGAUGCGGUCCCCCUAGCCAGUGUGAGACCCCGCUACGUCUCUGCGCCACUGCCUGAAUCAGCGGUCGCCGUUGGCAUGCCCCUCGGUCGGUGAACCGCAUGACGCCCAGCAUAAAACCCUGCGCAGGUUAGUGUAUCAUGGCCAUGAUGAACACACAACAUACAACACAUACACAGACACACACACACUCUAUCUAAAACGAAAAGAUGAAUAUACAUGCAAAAUGAAUUUAAGCUAAA